AUGGCUCUCGCUUCCACCUCCCCUCUUGCCGCCACCGCCGCUCGUCCUAAGACUUCCGCUCCCCUCACGCUGUGUCGUUCAGGCCGCCUACAGCGCAUCUCCUGCCAGGCGACCACCGACCGCCCCCGCGGCGGCAAUGCGUCGAACACGUCGCCGGCGCCGCCGAGGUGGCGCGUAGCGGUCUCUGCAGCCCUCGCGGCUGCCGUAGUCGUAGCGAUGCCUGCCCACGCGGAUCUGAACAAGUACGAGGCGGACCAGAGGGGGGAGUUUGGCAUCGGCUCAGCCGCGCAGUUCGGCAAUGCGGACCUCAAGUACCACUCGCCGCCUGCAUCUUUCCGUCUCUUGUUCCUGCUCGUUUUUCUGCACUGGGUUGCUGAUGCUGUCCUCUUCUGUGGUUUUUGCAGAAACACUGUGCAUGUUAACGAAAACUUCAGGCGGGCGAACUUCACAUCUGCUGAUAUGAGGGAAUCAGAUUUUAGUGGUUCCACAUUCAAUGGUGCCUAUAUGGAAAAGGCUGUUGCUUUCAGAGCGAAUUUCACAGGUGCAGAUUUGAGUGACACUUUAAUGGAUCGCAUGGUUCUCAAUGAAGCUAAUCUCACAAAUGCUGUGCUUUCACGGACUGUCCUUACACGUAGUGAUCUCGGUGGAGCAACCAUUGAAGGUGCUGACUUCAGCGAUGCUGUUAUUGACCUACCACAGAAACUGGCUUUGUGCAAAUAUGCAAGUGGGACAAAUCCUAUAACUGGAGUCAGCACCCGGAAAAGCCUUGGAUGUGGCAACAGUCGCCGCAACGCAUAUGGGAGCCCUUCCUCCCCUCUUUUAAGUGCGCCGCCACCUAAACUUCUGGACCGUGAUGGUUUCUGUGAUGAAGCUAGUGGUUUGUGUGAUGCGAAGUAA
rnacentral:rRNA from 1 species